rnacentral:tRNA from 1 species
GGGCUCAUGGUCUAGUGACCUGCAAAGCUUGCUUUGCGGCUAGAAGCUAUGACGUCGCCUUGACGUGGCGGAGGUCCCCGGUUCAAUUCCGGGUGGGCCCA